rnacentral:rRNA from 1 species
AAUCAACGCUGGCGGCGUGCCUCAGACAUGCAAGUCGAACGAUUAAAGCUCUCUUCGGAGAGUGUAUAGAGUGGCGCACGGGUGAGUAACACGUAAGUAAUCUACCUUCGAGUGGGGAAUAACACCGAGAAAUCGGUGCUAAUACCGCAUAAUGCAGCGGCAUCGCAAGAUGACAGUUGUUAAAGAUUUAUCGCUUGAAGAGGAGCUUGCGGCAGAUUAGCUAGUUGGUAAGGUAAUGGCUUACCAAGGCUACGAUCUGUAACCGGUCUAAGAGGACGGUCGGUCACACUGACACUGAAUAACGGGUCAGACUCCUACGGGAGGCAGCAGUCGGGAAUUUUGGGCAAUGGGCGAAAGCUGACCCAGCAACGCCGCGUGAAGGAUGAAGUAUUUCGGUAUGU